CUUCCUUCUUCCCCCUUUCUUCACGGAGCUGCUUCUCCUCGUGAUGGCGCACCACAGUUCUAACGAGCUUCUUCGCAGCAGCCACCUUCCACCUCCUCUCCUGGGCAAAGUCUGUGGCCAUCCACUGCAUCUCCUCCAGCAGAUAGUCCCAGUGGGACUUGGGGCGUGGGGCCUCCUGCAGCUUUGGCAGACGCCUCUGGGACCACAGACCUGCUUUCCUCAGCUCCGCAAUGCGCUGAUGCACCUGGUUCUCCAGAGUUAUUUGUUCUGUCAGCGUAUCCUGAGAACUGUCUUGGGACGAGGUGGCAUUCUGAGC
rnacentral:lncRNA from 1 species